GGAAAUGACUGGGGACAUCCUGCAAGUGAAAACUCUUUUCCGCCGCCCAUCGUGCAUGGAUGCUCUCUCCCAAUAUCUGACCAGUGAGGUGGAGUUUUGGGCAGAAGGAUCCAAGAAAAAGGUGAACUUCAGCGGCCCGAUGGACAUUGACACCUCCCAGUUUGGCAGCGGCACGUACUGCUUCCAGGCCCGAACCCUUUUCUCGCUAACUGAAAAGCGGAGCAGGUUCUCUGAGCCGGAGUGCAGAGUCUUCCACGAGAAAGGAAACUGGGAAAGUGUUGCUCUUCCUCUGCUGUUACUGCUAAUCUUGCCUGCCGGCUCCUUUACAGCCUUCCGCUGGUACAGAACCAUG
rnacentral:lncRNA from 1 species